rnacentral:rRNA from 1 species
GAUUAUGGCUCAGGAUGAACGCUAGCUACAGGCUUAACACAUGCAAGUCGAGGGGCAGCAUUGGAGUAGCAAUACUUCAGAUGGCGACCGGCGCACGGGUGAGUAACACGUAUCCAACCUGCCGCUUACUCGGGGAUAGCCUUUCGAAAGAAAGAUUAAUACCCGAUGGUAUAAAGAGUUCGCAUGUUCUCUUUAUUAAAGAAUUUCGGUAAGCGAUGGGGAUGCGUUCCAUUAGAUAGUUGGCGGGGUAACGGCCCACCAAGUCUACGAUGGAUAGGGGUUCUGAGAGGAAGGUCCCCCCACAUUGGAACUGAGACACGGUCCAAACUCCUACGGGAGGCAGCAGUGAGGAAUAUUGGUCAAUGGACGAGAGUCUGAACCAGCCCAAGUAGCGUGAAGGAUGACUGCCCUAUGGGUUGUAAACUUCUUUUAUAAGGGAAUAAAGUGGGGGACGUGUCCCUUUUUGUAUGUACCUUAUGAAUAAGGAUCGGCUAACUCCGUGCCAGCCGCCGC